rnacentral:rRNA from 1 species
AGUGAACGCUGGCGGUAGGCCUAACACAUGCAAGUCGAACGGCAGCACAGUAAGAGCUUGCUCUUACGGGUGGCGAGUGGCGGACGGGUGAGGAAUACAUCGGAAUCUACUUUUUCGUGGGGGAUAACGUAGGGAAACUUACGCUAAUACCGCAUACGACCUACGGGUGAAAGCAGGGGAUCUUCGGACCUUGCGCGAUUGAAUGAGCCGAUGUCGGAUUAGCUAGUUGGCGGGGUAAAGGCCCACCAAGGCGACGAUCCGUAGCUGGUCUGGGAGGAUGAUCAACCCCCCGUGAACCGGACAACGGUCCCGAAUCCUUCGGGAGGCAGGCGGUGGGAAUAUUGGACAAUGGGCGCAAGCCUGAUCCAGCCAUACCGCGUGGGUGAAGAAGGCCUUCGGGUUGUAAAGCCCUUUUGUUGGGAAAGAAAAGCAGCAGGUUAAUACCCCGCUGUUCUGACGGUACCCAAAGAAUAAGCACCGGCUAACUUCGUG